GGAGAGAUGGUGGCUCAGUGGUAGAGCAUCUGCUUGACAAGCAGAAGGCCCCUGGUUCGAUCCCUGGCGCCUCCA